ACUCAAAUGAAUUGACGGGGGCCCGCACAAGCAGCGGAGCAUGUGGUUUAAUUCGAAGCAACGCGUAGAACCUUACCAGGGCUUGACAUGUACUGAACCCGGCUGAAAGGUUGGGGUGCCCUUCGGGGAGCAGUAACACAGGUGGUGCAUGGUUGUCGUCAGCUCGUGUCGUGAGAUGUUGGGUUAAGUCCCGCAACGAGCGCAACCCCUAUUGUAUGUUGCCAGCAGGUAAAGCUGGGCACUCAUGCGAGACUGCCGGUGACAAACCGGAGGAAGGUGGGGAUGACGUCAAAUCAUCAUGCCCCUUAUGUCCUGGGCAACACACGUGCUACAAUGGGCGCCACAGAGUGAACCAAGGCCGCGAGGCGGAGGAAACCACCAAAGGCGCUCGUAGUUCAGAUCGCAGGCUGCAACUCGCCUGCGUGAAGCCGGAGUUGCUAGUAAUCGCGGAUCAGCACGCCGCGGUGAAUACGUUCCCGGGCCUUGCACACACCGCCCGU
rnacentral:rRNA from 1 species